rnacentral:snRNA from 1 species
AGCAAAACAAAGGAAAAUCAAACAAAAUAACAGAAAGAAAUGAAAAAUCGUAUCCAGGCUAUCAAUGAGUCGCAAUGUAGCAGACAUACACGACUAACUUUUUAAGUUGGUUGUUUAUUAGAAUAUUUAUUCUAAUAUAUAAACUAUAGGGAAAGUCCCCAUGUGAGAGUAAGAAUUCUCUAUAUGGCUUUAGUUAUAUAAGAAUAUACUUACUAAUCUAGAGGAUCAUCAUUAAUUUGGAGUAUCUUUAUUUAUUUAGAUUCUUUAAUGUGAGGUACCUUUCUUAUCUAUCCUCUUUAUUGGAUGGAUAAAGAUAGUGAUACUGAUAUUAUAGUGAGAGAUUUCUCUUACUAUGGAAUCUUAUAUAAUUGAUACUGGCAGUCUCAUUAUUAUUGAAUGAGUGUAAAAUGUGAUCGUUAAGUUAAUAGCGACUGGUAUCUUUUUAAGUAGGAUACAACAGAAUGGGGCUUACACUUGAUUUGCUUGGUAAUUUUACUUUGAU